AGCAGCCGCGGUAAUACGGAGGGGUGCAAGCGUUAAUCGGAAUUACUGGGCGUAAAGCGCACGCAGGCGGUCUGUCAAGUCAGAUGUGAAAUUCCCCGGGCUUAACCUGGGAACUGCAUUUGAAACUGGCAGGCUAGAGUCUUGUAGAGGGGGGUAGAAUUCCAGGUGUAGCGGUGAAAUGCGUAGAGAUCUGGAGGAAUACCGGUGGCGAAGGCGGCCCCCUGGACAAAGACUGACGCUCAGGUGCGAAAGCGGGGGGAGCAAACAGGAUUAGAUACCCUGGUAGUCCACGCCGUAAACGAUGUCGACUUGGAGGUUGUGCCCUUGAGGCGUGGCUUCCGGAGCUAACGCGUUAAGUCGACCGCCUGGGGAGUACGGCCGCAAGGUUAAAACUCAAAUGAAUUGACGGGGGCCCGCACAAGCGGUGGAGCAUGUGGUUUAAUUCGAUGCAACGCGAAGAACCUUACCUGGCCUUGACAUCCACGGAAUUCGGCAGAGAUGCCUUAGUGCCUUCGGGAACCGUGAGACAGGUGCUGCAUGGCUGUCGUCAGCUCGUGUUGUGAAAUGUUGGGUUAAGUCCCGCAACGAGCGCAACCCUUAUCCUUUGUUGCCAGCGAGUAAUGUCGGGAACUCAAAGGAGACUGCCGGUGACAAACCGGAGGAAGGUGGGGAUGACGUCAAGUCAUCAUGGCCCUUACGGCCAGGGCUACACACGUGCUACAAUGGCGCAUACAAAGAGAAGCGAACUCGCGAGAGCAAGCGGACCUCACAAAGUGCGUCGUAGUCCGGAUCGGAGUCUGCAACUCGACUCCGUGAAGUCGGAAUCGCUAGUAAUCGUAGAUCAGAAUGCUACGGUGAAUACGUUCCCGGGCCUUGUACACACCGCCCGUCACACCAUGGGAGUGGGUUGCAAAAGAAGUAGGUAGC
rnacentral:rRNA from 1 species